CGCGUAGGCGGGAGAACAAGUCAGAUGUGAAAUACCGGGGCUCAACCCCGGGGCUGCAUUUGAAACUGUUUUUCUUGAGUGAUGGAGAGGCAAGUGGAAUUCCUAGUGUAGCGGUGAAAUGCGUAGAUAUUAGGAGGAACACCAGUGGCGAAGGCGACUUGCUGGACAUUAACUGACGCUGAGGCGCGAAAGCGUGGGGAGCAAACA
rnacentral:rRNA from 1 species